rnacentral:rRNA from 1 species
GGGGAAUUUUGGACAAUGGGCGAAAGCCUGAUCCAGCCAUUCCGCGUGCAGGAUGAAGGCCCUCGGGUUGUAAACUGCUUUUGUACAGAACGAAAAGGCUUUGGAUAAUACCCAGGGCUCAUGACGGUACUGUAAGAAUAAGCACCGGCUAACUACGUGCCAGCAGCCGCGGUAAUACGUAGGGUGCAAGCGUUAAUCGGAAUUACUGGGCGUAAAGCGUGCGCAGGCGGUGAUGUAAGACAGUUGUGAAAUCCCCGGGCUCAACCUGGGAACUGCAUCUGUGACUGCAUCGCUGGAGUGCGGCAGAGGGGGAUGGAAUUCCGCGUGUAGCAGUGAAAUGCGUAGAUAUGCGGAGGAACACCGAUGGCGAAGGCAAUCCCCUGGGCCUGCACUGACGCUCAUGCACGAAAGCGUGGGGAGCAAAC